AAUCUUUUUCCAUGUCUUUUUCUAAAAGUACAGGGAUUGCACUCAAAUCUACAAAGGAAGAAGACGACGACUCGGAUUCCAACAGAGAUAUUUCGCUCGCUGAUUUUGAACAUCAACUGACGUUCUUAACGAAGAAAUUUCGACGGAACUUUCGGAAAAACAAAGCUUCGUCCUCGAAACAAAAAUCGUUUUCUAAACAAUCUUCG
rnacentral:lncRNA from 1 species